UUCUGCAGUCGAGCGGACAGAUGGGAGCUUGCUCCCUGAUGUUAGCGGCGGACGGGUGAGUAACACGUGGGUAACCUGCCUGUAAGACUGGGAUAACUCCGGGAAACCGGGGCUAAUACCGGAUGCUUGUUUGAACCGCAUGGUUCAGACAUAAAAGGUGGCUUCUGCUACCACUUACAGAUGGACCCGCGGCGCAUUAGCUAGUUGGUGAGGUAACGGCUCACCAAGGCGACGAUGCGUAGCCGACCUGAGAGGGUGAUCGGCCACACUGGGACUGAGACACGGCCCAGACUCCUACGGGAGGCAGCAGUAGGGAAUCUUCCGCAAUGGACGAAAGUCUGACGGAGCAACGCCGCGUGAGUGAUGAAGGUUUUCGGAUCGUAAAGCUCUGUUGUUAGGGAAGAACAAGUGCCGUUCGAAUAGGGCGGCACCUUGACGGUACCUAACCAGAAAGCCACGGCUAACUACGUGCCAGCAGCCGCGGUAAUACGUAGGUGGCAAGCGUUGUCCGGAAUUAUUGGGCGUAAAGGGCUCGCAGGCGGUUUCUUAAGUCUGAUGUGAAAGCCCCCGGCUCAACCGGGGAGGGUCAUUGGAAACUGGGGAACUUGAGUGCAGAAGAGGAGAGUGGAAUUCCACGUGUAGCGGUGAAAUGCGUAGAGAUGUGGAGGAACACCAGUGGCGAAGGCGACUCUCUGGUCUGUAACUGACGCUGAGGAGCGAAAGCGUGGGGAGCGAACAGGAUUAGAUACCCUGGUAGUCCACGCCGUAAACGAUGAGUGCUAAGUGUUAGGGGGGUUUCCGCCCCUUAGUGCUGCAGCUAACGCAUUAAGCACUCCGCCUGGGGGAGUACGGUCGCAAGACUGAAAACUCAAAGGAAUUGACGGGGGGCCCGCACAAGCGGUGGAAGCAUGUGGGUUUAAUUCCAAAGCAACCACGAAAAAACCUUACCAGGGUCUUGGACAUCCUUCUGGACAAUCCUAAAAAAUAAGGAACUUCCCCCUUCCGGGGACAAAAGUUACCGGGUGGAAGCAUGGUUUUGGCCUCCACCCACUUGUCGCUGAAAA
rnacentral:rRNA from 1 species